rnacentral:lncRNA from 1 species
AGACAAAGCCCUGACGAAUAGAGGCCUGCGCAGAGUGCCCGGGGUGCAGGGCAGCAGGGCAGCCAGUGAACCACUGAGCUCGCACUGUAGCCAGUCCUGUGUGCCCCUGCUGGAUUCUGCUUCUAUGAGGGAGGCAGCAAGGAGUUGGGACUUCACAGGGUCUUACUUUGUCGCCCAGGCUGGAGUACAGUGGCAUGAUCGUAGCUCAUUGCAGCCUCCACCUCCCUGGGCUCAGGAGAUCCAUCUCAGCCUCCUGAGUAGCUGGGACCACAGGUUUUGUUCAGGUUUAGCACAAGCUGUGAUGAAUAUCUUCAAGCCUCUGCUUCCUGCUGUGGAAUUGUUGCCAAAGGACACAUUCCCAGAUGGGAUUACUGAGUCAGAGGAAGUGGACAUUGAGUGGCUCUCAACAGACAGGCUGUGUUGCUCUCACAGUGCCCAGCUUCCCAUGGGUGGCCAGCCGAAUGCAUUAUGGGAGAAAGCAGGUCUCGUGGAUAAUAUUUCUGAAGAUCGGAGCAGGUUGCCAGGUCCACGUCGGCCAUGACUGCAGCACGCUCCGGAGGCAGCAGGGGGCACCCUGGAGCUUCGCAUCCUCCUUCAGGCCCGCGGCAUCUCCCCUGGCUCCACCAUCCCCAGGUGUCUCAGGCCUGUUUCCUCCUCAUGAGAGGUGGAGCGGUGGUUCCCAAACACGAUGUGGGAAGUGUGUUAAAAUGCAGAUCCUGGGCUCGACCCUGAAGCUCUUCCGGCAUCCACCUUCCCAGGUGACCAGACUCUGGGGAAGGCAUCACCUCAAGACUCCUGCACCCUUCCUCCAGAGUCCUGGGAUUCAGCUAAAUCCUGGGAAGGUGCCUGCCUCCCUGCUGCGCCUGGCCACGUGGAAACCCCUGUAGCUCCCUGGCUGUGCAGGAGCAGCCACAGUGUGCCCCUCCCAGGACCACCAUCCCCCUCACUGUCUCUGAGGCACCUGCGUGGACCGGGUCUGGAUUGAGUCUCAUUUCUCUGGAUUCCCACGGCAGCCGGCGGCUGCCUCUCCCACACCCGUCACUCUGUGUCAUGGAAAGCUGUGUGUUUGUCUUCAUUCCCACCGAGUCUGAGCCACUCGAGGUCAGGGCCAUGACCGUGAGCUACACGUCCUUGGCGCCCAGUGUGAGCCGUGUACAGUAGAGGCUGACUGACGUCUUGGAGGCAGAAUCCUGAUCCCUGACUGCCAUCUGGACUUGGAGGCAGGGUUAGGGAAGAUCCUGCUCCUGGAAGGAGAAAGAUGUGGAGUGGAGAAAAUCUCAGCCACCAGGAAGACAAAUGGGAGGACGGAGCCUUCCCGCCAGGCAGGUGGUGAGGAAGAGUGGGGUAGAGCCAGGCGGCACAGGCAGCAGCCCUUGAUGUGCCAAGGCUGGAGCGUGAACU